GUAGAAAUCUUGGGAAGGCUGAACACUUGGGCCCUUUUCUAUUCUAGAGUGUGCUGCUUUGACCUAUAAGCUAGCAUCCCUGAGGCUUGAUAACUGCCCUAUUCUCUAGCCUAUUUGCUUUAAAUGUCAAAUCUUUCAUCAAAAGCAAAGGUAACAGAUGACUGACUGUUUCACAGAGGGCCAUUUCCCAGGGCAAGACAAAAAUUUCAUUCUUCAAUAACACCCAACUGACUGGAUGCUCUGUAGAUAGAGCAUAGAGAUGAGAGUAAAAAAAACCCUGUUGUUUCCUCCCAGCUCCGCUCUUGUCUCGCUACAGAUCAGGUUCCUCCAUCUCUACAAUGUAAGUGGUCUGGCAAGUUGAUAUAGACAAACUAUACACAAGGACUACUUUGCUUUGUCAGUGAAAUGCAUCUGCAUCUGUGGGGAAACACAUCAGUGGCUGAACAGCACCAAGCCGCACUACACAACAUUUUGGGACAGCAAGUGGUGGAACUAUUGAGUGAAUAACAGAAUUUGUGGUGUUUCUACUCCAUAUGUGACUUAUUGAGACAACAAAAGUAUAGAAAAAACGAAGGCAAGCACCAAUAUAUCUGGGAGUUUGGCAGUAAUUUGAGGCAGGACAGGAGCAGAAACUCAGACCAGAUUUUAGGGAAGAGAGCCAGGAAAUUCAGCAUGUAUUUGAAAGAGCCUGAGAGCUCAGAAAUAUUCAGUGAAACUUUCUGACUGCCACAAGAAAUGAAAAGCGGCUGCAUUCCCCUACGGUCAAAGUGUCCUAUUAAAGACUUCACAAGCAAGAUUGCUCUCCAGAAACAGAUUGGAAUACUUUUCUGCAGCUGUGAAAGUCUUAGAGGAGUCAUGGUCUCUCUAAUUAUAUGUUAUGUGUCAGAAGCAAAACAGAGAUAUUAGUGUCUAAGUGAAGACAACAUCACACUAAAUGUAGGACACUUUAAAGAUGGGAAUAUCCAGGAAAGUGGACACAUUCACUGGCAUCAAUUUAUUCUUGCGAUCUUCAAAAUUCCGUGAAACAGGAAGAUCAGACUCCGGCAUCUAUUGCUUAAAACCUCACCUCUAUAGUU